CCGGCGACCGGCGCACGGGUGAGUAACACGUAUGCAACCUGCCCUCUUCAGGGGGACAACCUUCCGAAAGGGAGGCUAAUCCCGCGUAUAUCGGUUUCGGGCAUCCGAGAUCGAGGAAAGAUUCAUCGGAAGAGGAUGGGCAUGCGGCGCAUUAGCUAGACGGCGGGGUAACGGCCCACCGUGGCGACGAUGCGUAGGGGUUCUGAGAGGAGGGUCCCCCACACUGGUACUGAGACACGGACCAGACUCCUACGGAAGGCAGCAG
rnacentral:rRNA from 1 species